rnacentral:rRNA from 1 species
GAGCCUUAGAGUUUGAUUCUGGCUCAGGACGAACGCUGGCGGCGUGCCUAAUACAUGCAAGUCGAGCGGACAGAUGGGAGCUUGCUCCCUGAUGUUAGCGGCGGACGGGUGAGUAACACGUGGGUAACCUGCCUGUAAGACUGGGAUAACUCCGGGAAACCGGGGCUAAUACCGGAUGCUUGUUUGAACCGCAUGGUUCAAACAUAAAAGGUGGCUUCGGCUACCACUUACAGAUGGACCCGCGGCGCAUUAGCUAGUUGGUGAGGUAAUGGCUCACCAAGGCAACGAUGCGUAGCCGACCUGAGAGGGUGAUCGGCCACACUGGGACUGAGACACGGCCCAGACUCCUACGGGAGGCAGCAGUAGGGAAUCUUCCGCAAUGGACGAAAGUCUGACGGAGCAACGCCGCGUGAGUGAUGAAGGUUUUCGGAUCGUAAAGCUCUGUUGUUAGGGAAGAACAAGUACCGUUCGAAUAGGGCGGUACCUUGACGGUACCUAACCAGAAAGCCACGGCUAACUACGUGCCAGCAGCCGCGGUAAUACGUAGGUGGCAAGCGUUGUCCGGAAUUAUUGGGCGUAAAGGGCUCGCAGGCGGUUCCUUAAGUCUGAUGUGAAAGCCCCCGGCUCAACCGGGGAGGGUCAUUGGAAACUGGGGAACUUGAGUGCAGAAGAGGAGAGUGGAAUUCCACGUGUAGCGGUGAAAUGCGUAGAGAUGUGGAGGAACACCAGUGGCGAAGGCGACUCUCUGGUCUGUAACUGACGCUGAGGAGCGAAAGCGUGGGGAGCGAACAGGAUUAGAUACCCUGGUAGUCCACGCCGUAAACGAUGAGUGCUAAGUGUUAGGGGGUUUCCGCCCCUUAGUGCUGCAGCUAACGCAUUAAGCACUCCGCCCUGGAGUU